AUUGAACGCUGGCGGCAGGCCUAACACAUGCAAGUCGAACGGUAACAGGAAGAAGCUUGCUUCUUUGCUGACGAGUGGCGGACGGGUGAGUAAUGUCUGGGAAACUGCCUGAUGGAGGGGGAUAACUACUGGAAACGGUAGCUAAUACCGCAUAACGUCGCAAGACCAAAGAGGGGGACCUUCGGGCCUCUUGCCAUCGGAUUUGCCCAGAUGGGAUUAGCUAGUAGGUGGGGUAACGGCUCACCUAGGAGACGAUCCCUAUCUGGUCUGAGAGGAUGACCAGCCACACUGGAACUGAGACACGGUACAGACUCCUACGGGAGGCAGCAGUGGGGAAUAUUGCACAAUGGGCGCAAGCCUGAUGCAGCCAUGCCGCGUGUAUGAAGAAGGCCUUCGGGUUGUAAAGUACUUUCAGCGGGGAGGAAGGGAGUAAAGUUAAUACCUUUGCUCAUUGACGUUACCCGCAGAAGAAGCACCGGCUAACUCCGUG
rnacentral:rRNA from 1 species